rnacentral:rRNA from 1 species
CCGUAGCCCAAGAGAUCGGGAUAACACCUGGAAACAGAUGCUAAUACCGGAUAACAAUAGAUGAUGCCUAUCAACUGUUUAAAAGAUGGUUCUGCUAUCACUCUUGGAUGGACCUGCGGUGCAUUAGCUAGUUGGUAGGGUAACGGCCUGCCAAGGCGAUGAUGCAUAGCCGAGUUGAGAGACUGAUCGGCCACAUUGGGACUGAGACACGGCCCAAACUCCUACGGGAGGCAGCAGUG